rnacentral:rRNA from 11 species
GCUGCUAUGCUUCACUGCUUCUUCUAAUACGCAAGAUUGCUGUGUAUUGGAUCCUGGCUGAUCUUAGAUGCUAAGCAGAGCUAGGCUUGGUUCAUACCUGGAUGGGAGGCUGCCAAGGAAUAUCAGGUGCUGUAGUCU